AUUGAACGCUGGCGGCAUGCUUUACACAUGCAAGUCGAACGGUAACAGGUCUUCGGAUGCUGACGAGUGGCGAACGGGUGAGUAAUACAUCGGAACGUGCCCGAGAGUGGGGGAUAACGAGGCGAAAGCUUUGCUAAUACCGCAUACGAUCUCAGGAUGAAAGCAGGGGACCGCAAGGCCUUGCGCUCACGGAGCGGCCGAUGGCAGAUUAGGUAGUUGGUGGGAUAAAAGCUUACCAAGCCGACGAUCGGUAGCUGGUCUGAGAGGACGACCAGCCACACUGGGACUGAGACACGGCCCAGACUCCUACGGGAGGCAGCAGUGGGGAAUUUUGGACAAUGGGCGCAAGCCUGAUCCAGCCAUGCCGCGUGCAGGAUGAAGGCCUUCGGGUUGUAAACUGCUUUUGUACGGAACGAAAAGACUCUGGUUAAUACCUGGGGUCCAUGACGGUACCGUAAGAAUAAGCACCGGCUAACUACGUGCCAGCCGCCGCGGUAAGAC
rnacentral:rRNA from 1 species